GAUCAUUACCGAGUGAGGGCCCUCUGGGUCCAACCUCCCACCCGUGUCUAUCGUACCUUGUUGCUUCGGCGGGCCCGCCGUUUCGACGGCCGCCGGGGAGGCCUUGCGCCCCCGGGCCCGCGCCCGCCGAAGACCCCAACAUGAACGCUGUUCUGAAAGUAUGCAGUCUGAGUUGAUUAUCGUAAUCAGUUAAAACUUUCAACAACGGAUCUCUUGGUUCCGGCAUCGAUGAAGAACGCAGCGAAAUGCGAUAAGUAAUGUGAAUUGCAGAAUUCAGUGAAUCAUCGAGUCUUUGAACGCACAUUGCGCCCCCUGGUAUUCCGGGGGGCAUGCCUGUCCGAGCGUCAUUGCUGCCCUCAAGCACGGCUUGUGUGUUGGGCCCCCGUCCCCCUCUCCCGGGGGACGGGCCCGAAAGGCAGCGGCGGCACCGCGUCCGGUCCUCGAGCGUAUGGGGCUUUGUCACCUGCUCUGUAGGCCCGGCCGGCGCCAGCCGACACCCAACUUUAUUUUUCUAAGGUUGACCUCGGAUCAGGUAGGGAUACCCGCUGAACUUAAGCAUAUCAAUAA
rnacentral:misc_RNA from 1 species